GAGGUUGCGCUGGUCUGACCAUGGAUACACCACCCAAGCGGCGUAAGUGUUGCAAAAGGUUCUCCUGCUUUGCCUUCAACUACUUGUAGUGGUAAUAAUAAAUGAUAAUUAUCUUGCCCUAUCAAUAUUUCGGGCUUAUAAUGUGCGAGAUUAAUUUUAUUUUUUACUUCAGAUAAAUAAUCGUAUCGCGUAAUGCAUAAAUUCGAGGAAUCUUGCGCAGGUAAACUCAAGUUGUCUACACUAUUUCCCGUUAGCGAAUAUAGUUGGCCGUCUCUGUUUGUCACAGUAAAUUUCAGUGACUCGCUGUCGCAUUCUAUUGCAUUGUUCCAUGCGCCACACACGCGCAUCUUUGUGUGACGUCCGUGUAAACCAACGCGCGCCGCCAGCUCCGAGUUUAUUAGUGUGACAGUUGAUCCGUCGUCGAGUAACGCGCUUGUAGUCUCGGUUCCGCUCGGUCCAUGUACUCAUCCUCUCCGAUCGCGACGACUGCUGCCACGAAGUUCUGGAUUUUGACCGCGAACUUGACUAUAUCUUUAUGAUAUUCGUCUGCUAAGUGUCGCGGUGUUUCUGCUCCCGUUCCUGCCUUCCUUCGGUACGCGCAGGAUUUGCCAUGAUGCUUGGCGGCGGAGUUUGAAACAUACCUUUUAUAUAUAUCGGCUCAAGAUUUGGCUCGAAGACCACUUUGUAAGGGCCAGGCUUAAUAAAACACAGCUUUUGGUAAAAUCGGCUUAUUUCUUUGGAUACGUGUGUGGUGACCGUUGCUCGGGUGAAGUAAGAGUCGUUGGUUUUCAAAUUGGUUGUCAACGAGUGACGUUUUGAUUUUUCUGACAUUAAGUGACGUUUGCUGUCACCACACGCGUUCCAUUUCACCAUUUAUUUAAACUAUAUACAUAAUACAUUUAGGUACAUAAUAUUAUUAAUACGCGUCGUUAACAAUAUUAGUAUAGAUAUUAUUCAUCAAUACUCAAUGAAUAAUAGUUUAAC